rnacentral:rRNA from 1 species
GAUGAACGCUGGCGGCGUGCCUAAUACAUGCAAGUCGAGCGAACAGACGAGGAGCUUGCUCCUCUGACGUUAGCGGCGGACGGGUGAGUAACACGUGGAUAACCUACCUAUAAGACUGGGAUAACUUCGGGAAACCGGAGCUAAUACCGGAUAAUAUAUUGAACCGCAUGGUUCAAUAGUGAAAGACGGUUUUGCUGUCACUUAUAGAUGGAUCCGCGCCGCAUUAGCUAGUUGGUAAGGUAACGGCUUACCAAGGCAACGAUUCGUAGCCGACCUGAGAGGGUGAUCGGCCCCACUGGAACUGAGACACGGUCCAGACUCCUACGGGAGGCAGCAGUAGGGAAUCUUCCGCAAUGGGCGAAAGCUUGACGGAGCAACGCCGCGUGAGUGAUGAAGGUCUUCGGAUCGUAAAACUCUGUUAUUAGGGAAGAACAAAUGUGUAAGUAACUAUGCACGUCUUGACGGUACCUAAUCAGAAAGCCACGGCUAACUACGUG